ACCUAUGUUACAUGGAAACGGAAGCGGAUACGUGGAAGCGAAAGCGUAUGGAAGCGCAGAAGCGAAAUUUUUUGAAAAAUUAGGAAGCGGGUACGUAUUGGAAGCGUAUAUGUAUGUAUAUAUAUGUGUAUAUAUAUAUUAAAAUAUAAUAUUUUUAAAAAAAAAUUAGGACUAAAAAUUAUAUGUUAUAAAUUUAAAUAAAUUAUUUAUUCAUUUGUAAUAAUUUUGUAAUGAUUUCAUAUUAAAACUGUGAAAAUAGACAUAAAUUAAGUUUAAAAGAAAUUAUUAUAUUAAUUAUUGUUAAUGCUUCAUAAAUAAUUGACACAAUAUAUUUGAAUAUAUGAUAUAUGUUUAAUAAAAACCUCAAUACAUAAAGAUAAUUUAUAGUAUUAAUUUUAAUAUUUAUAUAUUUAUAUCCUCUCUAUUCAUUACUAUUAAAAUUUUGAUUUUACAGAAAUUAAUAACUACGAUUAUAUUUUUAUUGAUAUUCAAUCUUGUAUUUUUUUUUAAAGAACGGAAGCGUAAUUCCAAAACGGAAUCAUAAGCUUCCAACGUGUUUUUAAAAUGAAUAUUUUGGAAGCGUUUUGGAAGCGAGAUUCCGUAAGCUUCCACAAGGUUCCGAUUCCGAUUCCGGUUCCGAAGCGGGAAGCGGACGUCCGAUGAAGCUUCCGUGCAACGUAG
rnacentral:lncRNA from 1 species